rnacentral:rRNA from 1 species
AUGGUGUCCUGCUCGACGACGUCCAUGGUGGAGAAGCUCGCGUCCCUGGAUCCGCUCGCCAAGGCGGCAGGUGGCGUCGCCUGGGAGUUGCUGCCCAUGGUGCAACCAGUGCAGACUCCGUUCACGUCUUGCUCAGGCAGGCGCUGCGGGCUGACGACCGCGCGGAGCUGCUGGGCUACCUGUACAACAGAGAUGGCAAGGUGCACGAGCUUCUCUAGUCUCUAUAUUUCUCAUCUGUGGCUUUAUAGUUUUAUCUCUCUGCCACGGCAAGCUGUGCUCAUGUUCAGUGCACAUGUUCAGAGUAGGAUGUUCAGUGCACAUUACAGAGAUGGUAUAGUUUCAGGAUUUACAUUACUGUGUGACAUGUUCAGUGCACAUGUUCAGAGUAGGAUGCAAGGUGUAGAUGUUCACUGCAAAUGGCAAGGUGUACUUCUAAAAAUUCAGUGCACAUGUUCAGAUUAG